UUUUCAGUUAAUUAAUAGAUGGGAGCGGUUUCGUCUGAACGCCGACAAGCGGGCGGUGAUUGGCGGAGGGCUCGACGGCGAGGUAGUCCGCAGAGAAUUCUCAUCGGAUGAUUCCCUCGCUCCCAUGUCCAUCACUCCCAUCUCCCCCUUUCCUCUUGUGCGACUGGGAGGCCGACAGCGGCGGCGGGGACAGAGCAUACAACGAUUCUGCGCCGGCGAGCAAUCCCAAAUCACCAAGCCAGAUUUACUAUGUCCUCGACAGCCGGGGAUGAAGGUCAUGCUUGCGGCUCGCCGCGUAUGUCCAGAAGCAAUGCCACGUCCGCCCACAAUUUCAUCCAGGCUCGCUAAUCUACAUCCAUGUUUCUUUUCUGAUCUCUUCCCGAUCUGACCUGUUCACAUAAUUUUAUACAACCAUAUUUUAGAUAGGCUUUUGAUGAGUGCACCAUGUAUCCAUGGUUGCAAAAUGAUUCCUGAGAUUUCCUUGGUAAAAUUUUUGGAAUAUUUUAGUUGUACAUAAAUUGGUUGUGCCAUCAUAACCAUUUGUUUAUUCGCUAGUAUAAAAAUACCAAAGUGAAUUCUCUAUACAUACAUACAAGAAGCACCUCUUUAAUUAGUAAUUUGCUGGUAGAAUCAUCGAUCUGUUAUUACUUGACAUAAGAAAGCUAUUACAAAUGCUAUAGGCAAUUGCGUGGAAAUUGAUCUGAGAAAUUGUUGUCGAGAUAGGUAAUCAAAUACUUGAGAACAGUUGCUCUUUAAGAUUUCCUGAGCUUUACUCUGGGUGCUCAAGUGAAGCAAUUACUUCUCACUGAAGGGUCUGUUUCUUUACUGGACUGGUCAUGUUGUUCCUAUUUUCUCUUUUAUUCAGAUAUACCUCGGAUUUCUAGAUAAGAAAGAGGUAUGCUGAACAAGAUUCAGGUCGUGCUAAGACAUCAACAAUCUAUGCCGACAAGCCUCCACUAUCUAUUGCAGAAAUGAAGAACUGUACGUGUUGAUUGCUUAUCCUGAAUAUGAUUUGGGGCGAAUAAGGCCUGACUAGCUUCUAAAUCUGCUGAACUGUACUGAUCGUGGUGUCAUGGAUGGCUGGUGAUGUUCAGAAUAAUAAGGGAAGUGCCUUAAAGCUGAAUAUCAAAUGAAAAGUUGAGCUGCACGUUGGGGUAUCCGUUCAAGUGGUUGCUGGCUAAUGUAUGAUGGAUAAAGAGUAGCGUCUUGGUAUUUAUGGUUGUGAGAAGAAAAGUGGACCUCAAUGCUACCGUACAAUUAAUAGGAUACUAUGUUGCUUCCAGCCCGUGGAUAAGAAUGUUUUAGUCGCUGGGGUCCUAGAGAGAUUGGUGAACAGAUGAAGCUGAUGGGAGAUCUCUGGUCACCUGCAAGUUAAGCUAAUUUAAGAUCAAGUUCGACGGUUACUUAGUUUCAAGUUCAGCAGUACCGCAGUAGUUAGUAUUCAAGUUCAGCAGCAAUUUUGUAAUAGUGAUUUCUGAAAUUUUCAUGCUGUUGGUUAGUUACUGCUAAGUGGCAUUCAAUUGUAUCAGGACGAAUUUUAUUUGUAAUCUCAAGGCUGGAAUUUGUUUUAGUGAGAUAUUUCCUGAAACCACUACAUGGAAUAUAUUUAUGA